CGCCUUGCCAGCCCGCUCAGAACUUAAAGGAAUUGAGGGGGCCCGCACAAGCGGAGGAGCAUGUGGUUUAAUUCGAUGAUACGCGAGGAACCUUACCUGGGCUCGAACGUAAGAUGACUGUAGGUGAAAGCUUACAUCUCUUCGGAGCAUUUUACGAGGUGCUGCAUGGUUGUCGUCAGCUCGUGCCGUGAGGUGUCGGGUUAAGUCCCAUAACGAGCGCAACCCCUACCUUUAGUUGCCAUCAGGUUAAGCUGGGGACUCUAAAGGAACUGCCUACGCAAGUAGUGAGGAAGGCGGGGAUGACGUCAAAUCAGCACGGCCCUUACGUCCAGGGCUACACACGUGCUACAAUGGCCGAUACAGAGGGCAGCUACCUGGUGACAGGAUGCAAAUCUCCAAAGUCGGUCUCAGUUCGGAUCGGAGUCUGCAACCCGACUCCGUGAAGUUGGAUUCGCUAGUAAUCGCGCAUCAGCCAUGGCGCGGUGAAUACGUUCCCGGGCCUU
rnacentral:rRNA from 1 species